CAACUUUUGGCAACGGAUCUCUUGGCUCUCGCAACGAUGAAGAACGCAGCGAAAUGCGAUAAGUAGUGUGAAUUGCAGAAUUCAGUGAAUCAUCGAAUCUUUGAACGCACAUUGCGCUUCCUGGUAUUCCGGGGAGCAUGCUCGUUUCAGAAUCAUUA
rnacentral:rRNA from 1 species